CAAAGCUCACACGUUCUCUCCUCUAGAAGCCACUUUCUUUUCUUUCUUGGAAUCUGCCCAGGGAGAGACACCUGUGUUUCUGUUUCGAUUUCUCCUCAGGCACCCGCAUUUCCUGGGGAGGAAUGGGGAAGGCGGAUGUGGCCAGUGGGCAGCAGGUCAUGAUCUGGCUCCGCCAGCCUCAGAGACUCACAGCUUCAGAGAUAGGAGAGUUUUUGUGGGAAUCCAGGCCCAGAGAGGAGCAGCGGCUUACUUGAGGGAAUACAGCCAGGACUCAGCCCAGAAUCACCUACUCCAGGAAGCCUUACUGGAUUGCCUUUCCCUUUGCUCCAGCUCCCCAUCCCCAGACAUUUCUAUGAAUGAGAUCAAAGAAUAUGCGGACUUUUGUGACUGGCUUCUUUCACUUAGAAUAACAUUUUCAAGGUUCAUCUAUGUUGUGCCACCCGAGCAGGUGUGGAGUGGGGAGCUUCACACCUUUUCAUUGCCAGGCAGCAAGGCGUGGUGACGGAGCCCUGAAGACAGACCCAGGGCUGGAAGCCCAACUCUUCACUUCUGUUGGGUCUUUCUGCCUCGCUGAGCCUCAUCAUUCUCUUCUGUGGAAUGGAACCACAGCACGUGGAUGAGAGACAGUGAAUGUAAGGUGUUUAGCAUAGUUGCUGGCAUACAACACAUGCUCAAUAAAUGUGAACUAUAAUAACAGCUACAGUGCUCACUCCAAAAACCUUGCACAGUUUCUGGCACACCGUAGGCCCUCGUGGGUGUGGGUGGAGUAACUGAUGGCAAGUGUGCCCCGGGAAGGGCGCCAGCUGAGGGCCUGGGCAGGCCUGGAGGGGGCCCUGGGAGGAGCUCACAGCCUCUGGCUCAGGGGCCCCUUGGCCAGAGCCCUGUCCAGCCCAGCUCUUGUCUGGCAUGGGGAGCAGUUUUAUUUCUACAGGCGUUUUGCGACUCAGCACAUGUAAGCUUCCUCCUGAUGGUUUGAAUUAGAAAGCAGCUGAUGCCUUCUGGAAAACCCAGGGAAAAACAUUAUUGUUGGAGGCCAGUCUCCUCAUUGGCAGAGCCGACUGCACUGGUCUGGCAUUCCGGAGCACAAAAGCCUUCGCCGGCAAAAUCGGAGCCUUCCCAUCGGGGCUCCCCUCCUCUCCGCCCUCCCUCUCAUCCAGCCCUGGCUGGGCCUGGCAAGUGCUGGCUGCCGGAUGGGAGUCAGGACAAGAAUCCUCUGGCUGUCUAGGCCCGUCCACUCCAGCAGCAAGUUGGUGGACGAGGUCUGACUCAACUCCCAGCCUGGCAAAUGUCUGGGGUCUGGCGUGCAGACGAAGGUGGUACCCACUGCAGGGAACAGGGCCAGGAGGAAGGUGGCAACAGGCUGGCUAGACACGGAGAUCGGAAAAGGAGAGAGUGUUACUGCUCUUAUUGGACGAAUGAGGAAACUGAGGCUCAGAGAGGUGAUGUCAGCUGCCCACGGUCACAGAGCCAGCAAGUGGUAGCCUGAGGACUAGACCCCAGGCCUGCUCUGAGGCCCACCUUGCCUUUUUGCACUGAGAAUGGGGGUAAAAGCACUUUGUGAACCAAAAGGCAUGGUAUACCUGGGAGGGUUUUAAAUACCAUUCCUAUUGCUGUUUUCCUGGGGAGGUGGUCAGAAGCUGGCAUGGCCUCCCCUCCAGCCGGCCAUCGGCCUUGCUGCAGCUUCUGCUUGGUCACCAACAGUUCGAGCCACAUGACCAGGGCUGCCUUAUCUCCUCGAGGGUGGCAGGCCCCUGUUCCCAGAAGCCCGGCUUCAGAUGGGCAGCAGCGAUUGUAGAGAUCUGCAGGGCCCCGAUAAAGCCGCUGCAGCAGGGGACAGACGGAUGGAAGUUCCCCUCAUGCCACUUCCUUCAGUGGCUGGUAUGGCCCCAGCUCCUUAAGCUCUUCCACUUCCUCACAAGGAUAGGGGCCCGGAGUGGCCAACAGAGCUCAGUGGGGUUCAGUCCCCAGUAACCCGCCCCCAUUCCUGGCAUCCCCCCUUCACGGCCCUGGGUCUAGGACCCUGGCCAUGAGGGUGCUCUUGUCUCCACCCCAGGGAGUGUUGGGACGAGCAGACGAGGUGACACUCGAUGUGCACGCGAGAGGCUGACGCUCUUUAUCCAUCUCCCCAGUCCGUGUGCCUUAGCCAUGUUGUCCCUCUUCUUUUCUGUGAUCUUUCCAAACCCUGCCCCUCCUAUAAGGGUGAGUCUGAAUGUCACCUUCUCCCCAAAGCUGUCCUGGACCUCCUCUGGCCUGUCACCUCCUGUGCUUCCUCUCGCAGCAUUGGAAUCGGCCCCUUCAGAGAAUAAAAGGACGGGAAGGAUGGCUAUCCACGUGCUGAGCCACAAAUGACUUUGACACUUUUCCCCUGCUGUGUAUG
ensembl:lncRNA